GGCAGUCCAUCGGUGUACUAAUACAUUGUCCGGACUGUUUUGGCAAAGACAUCCGGUCUGCCUCUGGGCACGUACUGAAGGGCAGCUGGCACAGAGUCAUCUCCGUGGUGUUUGGCAAAUGUGGAGGGGGAGACUUGAGCUGCUUGCGAGCAGCUGUUUGCAUAGUGCUUGAAUAGUGCUAGAGGAUAGGUCUGUCGUUGAAUCUUGAAAGCUCGUAGAUGUGGAGUUUUUUUUUUUUUUUCCUCCAGUCUUAGGUAAACCUUAGGAGGAACCGGUCAAAGGAGAGAGCGCCUUCUGGAACUGUCAAGCACUUGUUCGGCAGCUCAGUGACUGGCUUGGUCUACUUCUGAGGUGCCGAGGCAGGUUGUCUGCUGUUUUGAAACGAUAACAUUGGAAAUGGGGUCCCAUGUGUUGUUGAGGGAUGGGUGCUAAUGCUGGCAGCUGAAUGAUUACCUUCUAUGUUUUCAUUUGUUAAAGCUGAAACGCAGCGUACAACCUGGGACGUCACACCCAGAGCUGCCUCUGGCAAGGUGAGCGAUGAACAGAUGGAGCAGUUAUAGUUGGGUUGCUGUUCUCACUGUCACUCUAAGUGUCCCCUCUGUUCUCUUUUAGAGGUGUUGUAGCUGGCUUAAGAGGGUAGAUGGAAGCAUCUGCCUCGGGGUGUCUCGCACAGGCUCAAAGGAGCAAACUGCAUUCUGAAGAGCUGCGUGCCAUGGCAGGCUCUCCACAGAAGUGGCUGAGGAUUUGAGAUGAGGCCAGAGAGUGACAAGGAGCAGCACGUGCAGGGAUGGUUUCCAAGCGCUGCGAUUGUUUUCUCUUCUGUUUAUCAGGUGAAGAGGUGCCUGAAGCCCCAUCCUGGCUGGCCAGCGCACACCUCGCUGAGAACGAAAGCUGCUUUCCAGUAAUUCAGAAAGCUAAGUUACGUCUCGGCCUCGAGCAUCUGGGGCGUGUGCCUGUGCUUUUGGACCUGUCUGUAGCAUUUGGCACCUGCAUUAAUACUUUCUUGGCAUAUGUGCAGGCUUUUGGGGCCUGUGUCUUGGGGGGAGGGUUGGGG
rnacentral:lncRNA from 1 species